rnacentral:rRNA from 1 species
CGAACGCUGGCGGCGUGCCUAACACAUGCAAGUCGAACGCGAACGGGGGGCAACCCCCUAGUAGAGUGGCGCACGGGUGAGUAGCACGUGGGUAAUCAACCCUCGGGUGGGGUAUAACAGUCCGAAAGGACUGCUAAUCCCGCAUAAGACCACGGAGGCUUCGGCUUCCGGGGCCAAAGGAGCAAUCCGCCUGAGGACGAGCCCGCGCCCCAUCAGCUAGUUGGUGAGGUAAUGGUCCACCAAGGCUCUGACGGGUAGCUGGUCUGAGAGGACGACCAGCCACACUGGGACUGGAACACGGCCCAGACUCCUACGGGAGGCAGCAGUGAGGAAUAUUGGACAAUGGGCGAAAGCCUGAUCCAGCAACGCCGCGUGGGUGAUGAAGGCCUUCGGGUUGUAAAGCCCUGUCGGGGGGGACGAGAAAGGACGGUACCCCCUAAGGAAGCACCGGCUAACUCCGUGCCAGCAGCCGCGGUAAUACGGAGGGUGCAAGCGUUGUCCGGAAUUACUGGGCGUAAAGCAGGUGCAGGCGGUUCGUUAUGUCGGGUGUGAAAUCCCGAGGCUCAACCUCGGAACUGCGCCCGAAACUGGCGGACUUGAGUGCGGGAGGGGAUGGUGGAAUUCCGGGUGUAGAGGUGAAAUUCGUAGAUAUCCGGAAGAAUACCGGUGGCGAAGGCGACCAUCUGGCCCGUUACUGACGCUCAGACCUGAAAGCGUGGGGAGCAAACAGAAUUAGAUACUCUGGUAGUCCACGCUGUAAACCAUGGGCGCUAGGUGUUGGGGGUGACAAUUCCCUCAGUGCCGUAGCUAACGCGUUAAGCGCCCCGCCUGGGAAGUACGGCCGCAAGGC